rnacentral:lncRNA from 1 species
UGAUGAGUUUAUUCCCGAAUCCAACUUUCUCUAUUUGUUACAUAAAUUGAACAUCGAAUUAGGAACGAUGUUGUUGAGGAAGUUGUUUUUGGAUAUUUGCAUCAGAUACAAAAAGUUUAUCUCUUGAACGCCCACUACAUACACAUUUAAAAUGAAUGCAAAUACAACAUAUACAAGGAUCGCAAACACAUCCACCACACUCUGCAUUGUUUUUGCAUGGCUGACCAAAUUGUACAUCUUCAUGCAUCAUACCUGAAAAAUGAAAAUGCAUUCAAAUUUUUAUUAAAUUAAGUAUUAUAUAUUCAUAUAAUUAAUAUAAAUAUACAUUAAGAUAAGACUGUUAUCCCCUAACAAUGUAACAUUUAUGUACUAAAUAUUGUUAGGGAGGCUGAUAACAACUGCGUCAUAUCUAUUCAUAUUUAAUAGAAAAUUGUUAGAAAAAUAUUUCUCAUCUAUACAAGAAUCAUAGAAUAAGAAUAACAUAGGAAUACGGUGAAGUAUAGAUAUAAUUAUAUUCCGGGAAUAAUGUAACUAUUGUGAUAUAGAUGAUAAAAUAUUUUGUUGCAAAUAAGAAAAUUUACCUGAAGCAGAUAUUAUGAGGACAACAAAGAAAGCUAACUUGACCAAAUGUGUAUACAUUUUUUUUGGCUAUAUCAAUGAUAUCUAUGGUCCUCGUC